rnacentral:rRNA from 1 species
UGGGGAAUAUUGCACAAUGGGCGCAAGCCUGAUGCAGCCAUGCCGCGUGUAUGAAGAAGGCCUUCGGGUUGUAAAGUACUUUCAGCGGGGAGGAAGGGAGUAAAGUUAAUACCUUUGCUCAUUGACGUUACUCGCAGAAGAAGCACCGGCUAACUCCGUUCCAGCAGCCGCGGUAAUACGGAGGGUGCAAGCGUUAAUCGGAAUUACUGGGCGUAAAGCGCACGCAGGCGGUUUGUUAAGUCAGAUGUGAAAUCCCCGGGCUCAACCUGAGAACUGCAUCUGAUACUGGCAAGCUUGAGUCUCGUAGAGAGGGGUAGAAUUCCAGACGUAGCGGUGAAAUGCGUAGAGAUCUGGAGGAAUACCGGUUGCGAAGGCGGCCCCCUGGACGAAAACUGACGCUCAGGUGCGAAGGCGUGGGGAGCAAACAGG